UCAUUUUUGAGACAUUCCAGUGCAGUGAAC
rnacentral:piRNA from 1 species